CUACGUGCCAGCAGCCGCGGUAAUACGGAGGGUCCGGGCGUUAUCCGGAUUUAUUGGGUUUAAAGGGAGCGUAGGCUGGAGAUUAAGUGUGUUGUGAAAUGUAGACGCUCAACGUCUGACUUGCAGCGCAUACUGGUCUCCUUGAGUACGCACAACGUUGGCGGAAUUCGUCGUGUAGCGGUGAAAUGCUUAGAUAUGACGAAGAACUCCGAUUGCGAAGGCAGCUGACGGGAGCGCAACUGACGCUGAAGCUCGAAGGUGCGGGUAUCGAACAGGAUUAGAUACCCUGGUAGUCCGCACAGUAAACGAUGGAUGCCCGCUGUUGGUACCUGGUAUCAGCGGCUAAGCGAAAGCAUUAAGCAUCCCACCUGGGGAGUACGCCGGCRACGGUGAAACUCAAAGGAAUUGACGGGGGCCCGCACAAGCGGAGGAACAUGUGGUUUAAUUCGAUGAUACGCGAGGAACCUUACCCGGGC
rnacentral:rRNA from 1 species